AUGCACUCCUGUACAUGCUUUUUGAUGCACACACAUGUUCAUUUCCAAUGCAGUAUCAGUGAGUUUAUAUUAUAUGCAUGUCUGAAUUCUCCACACCUGGGAAAUUUUGCCAUCACCUGGGAGCUAAUCUGCAUAACAAAAAGGCGAAUUGUAACUUGCAGAGUACUUUUCAUGUUUUUGCUGGACAUUCUUAAGUCUUGGAAUAACUUGAGACAAAGGAGGGCUGGUGUAUAUCAGCCUGUUCUUGAAUGUUUUCAGGGAGGACAAAGAAUCUGAGUUGAAGAAAGCACUUCACGACAUGACAUCCCAGAAGAGUCAAAACGGCCUGGUCGUCUCUGGCAAGCGCAAAAGGAUCCCCAAGAAACGUUUGUACGAGAGCGACGAUGAAACUGACACUGAUGUUGGGAGGUCCAGUGGCGAUGAGAAGAAGCGAUCCAGGAAAACCAAGAAGGCUGAAGAAUCGGACGUGUCACCAUCUUCUUCCCAGAGGAAAGCUGGUCAGAAGAGGGUUUCUAGUGAGGACCAGACCCAGCCCAAUAAAGACCAAGAACCAAACCUAGACCAAGAACCAGGCCAAGAAGACCAGGACCCAGAAGCAUUCCCUGAUACUUCAUCUGACAGGGAAAUAGAAUAUUCCACAGAUGGGAUGGGGCCUGAUGUUCAGGGUGAUGAGAUGGAGGAUGGUGAGGAGGAAGAGGAGGAGGAGGAGGAAGAGGAAUUAGGGAGUGAAGGAGGAGAGUACCCACCAGAGUACGAGCUCUCGGAGCUCGAGAAGCUGAGAUUAGAAGUUAGAGGAUUGAGGGAUGAAAUCAUGCUACUCAGACAUGAAGUUUGCAAAGAACUCCCAAAGGUACACGCGAUAGCCCUAAAGGCUCUGGGCACCCACAACAAUGUCAGCUGUUCUCCCGAGGACAAGAGCAGCAAGGUGAUUAAGAGGAAGGCAUUGUCUCAAAAUAAGUUUGCUGUUAGCAAAGGGAGAAGACGCCCGGGUCAAUUGUCCAAGGCGGGCGUGGUGAAGAAAGAAGCUGACAUUCUCAGGCAGAAAGCUAAUUUGGAGAAGAUCUCAGGAAAGCCCAAAGUCAUCCUUUCGCCAACGAAACUAAUAAAAAAUGAGAUGGUACCUUCGCCAUCUCCAUCUAAGAAACAAGCAACUCAAAAUUCCGACCAGGUUGAGAUUCAUCCCGGAAGUGGUGUGUUCAUCAACCGCGAGGUUUGGGACGGCCUUAAUGCACUGGACCAACCCACCGCCUUUACCCGCCGUCUCCUCCCAUUCGUCUUCUCCAUGGAAACGCUCCUCAAUAGUAACCUGCGAGGCGGAAAGAGCACAAGGGACUCCUCUGCAGAGCCUAGACAAGCCCUUGAUCCAAAGAAAGUCGAUGCCAUCUAUAAAGCGGUUACCACCAGAUUCCCCAACAUCUCCCACUGCGACAUCGGACAGGCCAUCAACGGACGUCUCUCCAGCAUCAGAUACCGCGAGCAAAAACGGGAGCACCGCAGGAGGCUCAAACAGGGUCACUGAAGACACAACUUAGUUAUCAAUGUGAAUGUACCCACUUGUUCAGCAUAUGAUGACAGUGUAAGGAGAUGCGACGUGUUCCUACUUUCCAUUAAAAUCAUUUUAAGAUGUUUUUCAGCUACCAUCCCGUGUGAAAGUGCCAUUACCAUGUUGCAUCUUUCUUCUCUCUCCCCACCUGUCGCAUCUGUCUUCCUUUCUCGAUCUCUGUCCAUUUUUCCUCUCAGAUGCAGUAUACUGCAAGUUUCCUCAAGUUAAGCACUGCGAUAUCGGGCAAGCCAUCAAUGGUCGGCUGUCCAACUUGAGGUAUCGAGCGAUGAAAAAGACCUGGUCUCCGUCGUUUCCCAGUCAGUUACCCACAAGUUUGAUUCUCAAGCAGAACACUCCAAGUGUCCCUGAUGAGAGUACGUGAGCUAUUUGAGGAAUGUGACCAUAUCUGAAAGGAACUGUAAAAUGUUUCUCACUUGUUAGAACAGUUAACCAGUUAUUUGUUAUUUCUCAGUUGUGUGAGGAAGAUUUUUUUGUUUGUUGUACAGAUGAAUCACCGAUUGCUUGUUAUUGCUUUAAACUACGUUAGAUUCAUGAUGUUAUAAAGUAUAUUGAUCAAUCUCUGUUGCUGAAAAUCAAUGCUCCAAUCUAUACCUUGCACUGUCAACAAAAUAUUCCUUUGUUUCUUUACUGUUUGCUUUCAUGUUUUUGUUCUGAUGUUUCUUUUUUUUAAUUUAUAUUUUUGGUGUUCUUAAAAAAAAGUCUUUUCUUUAAUGCUGAAUGGUAUAUCAUCUCCUUUUAUUCUUGUGAAGAAAGGAAAUAGAAUUUCUUUUGAGAAGAUUUCUCAUAUGAGAACAUUCAACUCAUUGUGUAAUCUCAGGAACAUAUUUCGUUUUAAAAUUAUGAGUUUAACCUGCAAAAAUGGACAAAAAUGUUUGUUUUAAAACAUAUUUUACAUCGACUCGUAAAGGCAAGGACAAAAUUCACAGUCUCCGCCUAGAUUACAGGCAAGAGGUGAUGUCUGCCUCACUUGGAGCACAGUUUGAUAGAGGUGUGAUAAACUCCCUGAAUAAUGCGUGCUUUUGUCUUCAAUGUAGGGCAUUUAGCUCUCUUUUAAAGAAAAAAUUACUAUGCAUUAUUAUUUUGAAAUGGUCCAAACUUUAUUAAUUUUAUUUGGUCAGUGAUCAUGUUACCUGAUUGCUAAGAAACCAUGAAUUAUAUCUGGAAGUAACCAGUGACUCUAAGUUUGAACAUGUAAUAAAUAUACAUGGUGUAUCAAAAAAGGAAUCCUGAUUUGGAUGUGUUUUAAUAAGAGAACAAUGAAAUCAGUGGCAUUAAAAUCCUAAUCAUUUGCAAUUACAUUUAUUAGCAUUUUAAUGAUACUAACAUUAGGUUUCUAGGGCCGUGUAUCACUUAACACCAUUCUUAUGAAUAUACAUAGAACUUCUUGAACAUAUAGGCACAGUGAUCAUUUUGAUAAAUGAAAUACAAUAAGACCUACAUGUAACAAUACCAGGAAAUGUUCUUAUAUAAUCUGUUCUGAUAAUAUUAAAGUAAUCUCUCCUUUUAAAACAUUGCAACUUUUUUAUUAAAAACACAAAAUUAUGCAUUUUUCAAAGUACACAGUUUACCUUUUGAACGUGCAUUGGAAGUAGAUUACCUGCUUUUUUUAGAACAAUGGUAUCUGGUAAUCCAUUGAAAUGAGAGACUGCAUAUCGGGUAUUGUUUAAAUAACACUACUGAAAAUUUGUAGUUUCAAGUGAUUUUUGUUUUGUUAGUGGUCAGGUAUUUUCUCACUAGAAGAUUAAAGUUGGGAAUCUUUUUUUGUUUAUCAUGUAUACAGGGAUGAAAUCCAGACUUUUUAAUGCAUUAGUAUUCAAUCAGAUUGUUUUAUCAUGACUUAUGAAGUAAUUUUGAUUUGGGUCUUGAAUCAAAAGUAUUAAAUGAUUAUGCAGCAUUGCGUAAUGUUUAAUAUCAUUUUAAUUGCAUGUCAUUUCAGUUUUGUGUAUUAUGCGAAGUAAUUUUCCAAAGGUUUGGUUGUUCUCGUUUUGUCUGUAAAUAUGAAGUUUUCACAUGAAAUAAAUUUAUUUGAACUAAA